rnacentral:rRNA from 1 species
CAGCAGCCGCGGGAAUACGGAGGGUGCAAGCGUUAAUCGGAAUUACUGGGCGUAAAGCGCACGCAGGCGGUUUGUUAAGACAGAUGUGAAAUCCCCGGGCUCAACCUGGGAACUGCAUUUGUGACUGGCAGGCUAGAGUAUGGCAGAGGGGGGUGGAAUUCCGCGUGUAGCAGUGAAAUGCGUAGAUAUGCGGAGGAACACCGAUGGCGAAGGCAGCCCCCUGGGCCAAUACUGACGCUCAUGCACGAAAGCGUGGGGAGCAAACAGGAUUAGAUACCCGCGUAGUCCCUGUCUCUUAUAC